rnacentral:rRNA from 1 species
AAUAGAUACCCAGGUAGUCCACGCCCUAAACGAUGUCAACUGGUUGUCGGGGAAGCAAUUCCUUGGUAACGAAGCUAACGCGUGAAGUUGACCGCCUGGGGAGUACGGCCGCAAGGUUAAAACUCAAAGGAAUUGACGGGGACCCGCACAAGCGGUGGAUUAUGUGGAUUAAUUCGAUGCAACGCGAAAAACCUUACCUACCCUUGACAUGUACGGAACUUGGCAGAGAUGCCUUGGUGCCCGAAAGGGAGCCGUAACACAGGUGCUGCAUGGCUGUCGUCAGCUCGUGUCGUGAAAUGUUGGGUUAAGUCCCGCAACGAGCGCAACCCUUGUCAUUAGUUGCUACAUUCAGUUGGGCACUCUAAUGAGACUGCCGGUGACAAACCGGAGGAAGGUGGGGAUGACGUCAAGUCCUCAUGGCCCUUAUGGGUAGGGCUUCACACGUAAUACAAUGGCCGGUACAGAGGGCUGCCAACCCGGCGAGGGGGGAGCUAAUCCCAGAAAGCCGGUCGUAGUCCGGAUUGUUCUCUGCAACUCGAGAGCAUG